GGUGUGGUAUGUAAUAUAAAACUUUGAAAGAUGGGGGGAUAUCAUAUGGAUGGGCACAAUUAUUCAAUUCUACUCCAAAUUAGUUGAACAUAGCUGCCCUGCUUCCUAACCAUGCACCAGGUGGACUGUAGGAUGCAGCAUUGCUCAUGUACCAGUUUUGUUGUUCAUUUUGUAGAAACCCAUUCUGCUGUGCUUGUCUUCAUGUUGGCUACAAAAAUUUGUAUUUCAUCAGCUUCACCUCUAUUUACUUAGCAAAAAUUGCUAUAUAGGUGACGUCCAAACAGAUUGUAAUGUAAUUUGAGUCUGAAAUAUUCUAAAAGAAAGUAUUUGUAUGUAGUAUAUAGACUAGUAAGUACCUAUAGCAAGUGACUACCAAUCCUUAAUGUUCCUAAUGGUUGACUAUCAUUUUGUUGCCUAAUCAAGUCCUGAACCAUUGCCAUGGAUGUAAUAAAUAUUGUAUCAUAUAAAGAGGAAAUAAAAGCAAAAAUACAAGAGGAUUUGCAGGAUUCUAUUUCACACCUUCAAAGACAUAAUGAUGAACUCCUUGAUCUAUUGAAGAGUUUGCUGCUUGCUGAAAAUCAGGUAACUGAGAGCCUCACAACUAGCAGGAAACAAGUGAAAGAGUCAUGCUCAAAGCUAAGGCAACUGCUUCUCGAAGUUGUUAGUACAAGAGAACAAGAACUUCUUGCAAAACUUGAACAAGUGGAAGAAGAGGCACUGUCACCUCUUCUUGACUGCAAAAAGCUUCUCUCUGAGUCCCUGAGAAGCUCCCAAGAACUGCUAGAACAUGGCCAGGUGCUGUCUUCUGAAGCUGGCAGGAGUUAUGAACCUGGCAAACACAGCUCCAGCAAUACUCAUGUUAUGAUCACCAAAGAAUCGAUCUCAAAAUUUCAAAAGCAAGCUGCACUUAGAAAUUGCCUGCCCAGUGUGCCAGAUCUGCAUGGUGUAGUCUCAGUCAGCGUUACGUUCACUGCUUCUAUUCCUGCCUUACUCACAUCACUACUACAGCAAUAUGGUGAAGUGCGGUGGCUUGGACCGGUGCAGAUCACCUCUGUUUUUGAAAAACCUGGAGCCCUUAUGGUGCACUGGGAAGAGAUAUCAUCAGAAGUGGAUGAUGACGAAGGUGAUGAGGAACAGCGUGAGUUUGUCCUUCAAUGUAGCGGUGCUGACGAAGAAUUAGAGUUUGCCCACUACCGCACUGUGUACACUGGCCCUGAUGACAGCUUCCUCCUGCAGCAGUUGUGCACUGGUGCCAAGUAUUGGCUCAGAGUCGCCCACUUGAUUGAUAAUUUGGCUAGGACUUGUAAAGUGUGUGGUGCAGGACCUGCCAAGCCUGUUGAACGAUCCACCACUACUGAAGUUUGUGCCGAUGUUUGUGCCUGGAGUUUGCCACGACAAUCCAGCACUAGUUUACCUCACUACCGCUGGGGUGAUAGUGAAGACUGGCGAGUAGCAGACGAUGGAAGACUGGCGACUAAAGUAAACAGCAGUGCAUCGGUCUUGUGUUCUGCUGCUGCACAAGUUAUGCCCGGGUACUCAAUCUCUCUGCAGAUCGUAUCAGGCAAUGAAGGUUGCUGUGACGAAGGCAUGGCUAUCAGUUGGCAGGCGCUGGCGUCGCCAGACGCUCUCACCGCGCCUGGGACAAUUUUCCUCAGCGCUACCGGCAGUGUCAUAGUGGACGGCGACUCGCGUUCUAUGAAACUGCCCUGCCUGUCGCAGGGCAGCGUCGUGACCGUCAUCGUCGAGCCCACGAGCUGUUCCUCGAGACUCCGCGUGCAUACGGAGACAGGGGGCAAGCGGGUGAGUUGGUGUGCCGGCAAGCGGGUGAGUUGGUGUGCCGGCAAGCGGGUGAGUUGGUGUGCCGGCAAGCGGGUGAGUUGGUGUGUCGGCAAACGGGUGAGUUGGUGUGCCGGCAUACGGAGACAGGGGGCAAGCGGGUGAGUUGGUGUGCCGGCAAGCGGGUGAGUUGGUGUGCCGGCAAGCGGGUGAGUUGGUGUGUCGGCAAGCGGGUGAGUUGGUGUGCCGGCAUACGGAGACAGGGGGCAAGCGGGUUACGUACGACUGGCCAGUACCUGAGAAGUUUGCCGCUGAUCCACGCCUUUACUUCUGUGCCUGUUUCUCGGGACCUGCCUGGG
rnacentral:misc_RNA from 1 species